rnacentral:rRNA from 1 species
AUUGAACGCUGGCGGCAGGCCUAACACAUGCAAGUUCGAACGGUAACAGGAAGCAGCUUGCCGCUUCGCUGACGAGUGGCGGACGGGUGAGUAAUGUCUGGGAAACUGCCUGAAGGAGGGGGUAUAACUACUGGAAACGGUAGCUAAUACCGCAUAAUGUCGCAAGACCAAAGAGGGGGACCUUCGGGCCUCUUGCCAUCGGAUGUGCCCAGAUGGGAUUAGCUUGUUGGUGGGGUAACGGCUCACCAAGGCGACGAUUCCCCAGCUGGUCUGAGAGGAUGACCAGCCACACUGGAACUGAGACACGGUCCAGACUCCUACGGGAGGCAGCAGUGGGGAAUAUUGCACAAUGGGCGCAAGCCUGAUGCAGCCAUGCCGCGUGUAUGAAGAAGGCCUUCGGGUUGUAAAGUACUUUCAGCGGGGAGGAAGGGAGUAAAGUUAAUACCUUUGCUCAUUGACGUUACCCGCAGAAGAAGCACCGGCUAACUCCGUGCCAGCAGCCGCGGUAAUACGGAGGGUGCAAGCGUUAAUCGGAAUUACUGGGCGUAAAGCGCACGCAGGCGGUUUGUUAAGUCAGAUGUGAAAUCCCCGGGCUCAACCUGGGAACUGCAUCUGAUACUGGCAAGCUUGAGUCUCGUAGAGGGGGGUAGAAUUCCAGGUGUAGCGGUGAAAUGCGUAGAGAUCUGGAGGAAUACCGAUGGCGAAGGCGGCCCCCUGGACGAAGACUGACGCUCAGGUGCGAAAGCGUGGGGAGCAAACAGGAUUAGAUACCCUGGUAGUCCACGCCGUAAACGAUGUCGACUUGGAGGUUGUGCCCUUGAGGCGUGGCUUCCGGAGCUAACGCGUUAAGUCGACCGUCUGGGGAGUACGGCCGCAAGGUUAAAACUCAAAUGAAUUGACGGGGGCCCGCACAAGCGGUGGAGCAUGUGGUUUAAUUCGAUGCAACGCGAAGAACCUUACCUGGUCUUGACAUCCACGGAAGUUUUCAGAGAUGAGAAUGUGCCUUCGGGAACCGUGAGACAGGUGCUGCAUGGCUGUCGUCAGCUCGUGUUGUGAAAUGUUGGGUUAAGUCCCGCAACGAGCGCAACCCUUAUCCUUUGUUGCCAGCGGUCCGGCCGGGAACUCAAAGGAGACUGCCAGUGAUAAACUGGAGGAAGGUGGGGAUGGCGUCAAGUCAUCAUGGCCCUUACGACCAGGGCUACACACGUGCUACAAUGGCGCAUACAAAGAGAAGCGACCUCGCGAGAGCAAGCGGACCUCAUAAAGUGCGUCGUAGUCCGGAUUGGAGUCUGCAACUCGACUCCAUGAAGUCGGAAUCGCUAGUAAUCGUGGAUCAGAAUGCCACGGUGAAUACGUUCCCGGGCCU